AUUGAACGCUGGCGGCAUGCCUUACACAUGCAAGUCGAACGGCAGCACGGGAGCAAUCCUGGUGGCGAGUGGCGAACGGGUGAGUAAUAUAUCGGAACGUGCCCAGUCGUGGGGAUAACGUAGCGAAAGCUACGCUAAUACCGCAUACGAUCUACGGAUGAAAGCGGGGGAUCGCAAGACCUCGCGCGAUUGGAGCGGCCGAUAUCAGAUUAGGUAGUUGGUGAGGUAAAGGCUCGCCAAGCCGACGAUCUGUAGCUGGUCUGAGAGGACGACCAGCCACACUGGGACAGAGACACGGCCCAGACUCCUACGGGAGGCAGCAGUGGGGAAUUUUGGGACAAUGGGCGCAAGCCUGAUCCAGCAAUGCCGCGUGCAGGAUGAAGGCCUU
rnacentral:rRNA from 1 species